rnacentral:rRNA from 1 species
AACACUUGGAAACAGGUGCUAAUACCGCAUAACCAUCAAAACCACCUGGUUUUGAUGUUAAAGAUGGUUCUGCUAUCGCUUUAAGAUGGACCCGCGGCGUAUUAGCUAGUUGGUGAGGUAACGGCUUACCAAGGCAAUGAUACGUAGCCGAACUGAGAGGUUGAUCGGCCACAUUGGGACUGAGACACGGCCCAAACUCCUACGGGAGGCAGCAGUAGGGAAUCUUCCACAAUGGACGAAAGUCUGAUGGAGCAACGCCGCGUGAGUGAAGAAGGUUUUCGGAUCGUAAAACUCUGUUGUCAGAUAAGAACGUGUGUGAGAGUAACUGUUCACGCAGUGACGGUAUCUGACCAGAAAGUCACGGCUAACUACGUGCCAGCAGCCGCGGUAAUACGUAGGUGGCAAGCGUUGUCCGGAUUUAUUGGGCGUAAAGGGAACGCAAGCGGUCUUUUAAGUCUGAUGUGAAAGCCUUCGGCUUAACCGAAGUCGGGCAUUGGAAACUGGGAGACUUGAGUGCAGAAGAGGAGAGUGGAACUCCAUGUGUAGCGGUGAAAUGCGUAGAUAUAUGGAAGAACACCAGUGGCGAAAGCGGCUCUCUGGUCUGUAACUGACGCUGAGGUUCGAAAGCGUGGGUAGCAAACAGGAUUAGAUACCCUG